AUUGAACGCUGGCGGCAGGCCUAACACAUGCAAGUCGAACGAGUGGCGGACGGGUGAGUAAUGUCUGGGAAACUGCCUGAUGGAGGGGGAUAACUACUGGAAACGGUAGCUAAUACCGCAUACCAUCGGAUGUGCCCAGCUGGGAUUAGCUAGUAGGUGGGGUAACGGCUCACCUAGGCGACGAUCCCUAGCUGGUAUGAGAGGAUGACCAGCCACAGUGGAGCUGAGACAGGGUCCAGACUACUACGGGAGGCAGCAGUGGUGAAUAUUGCACAAUGGGCGCAAGCCUGAUGAAGCAAUGAGGAGUGUAUGAAGAAGGCCGUCGGGUUGUAAAGUACUUUCAGCGGGGAGGCGUUACCCGCAGAAGAAGCACCGGAUAACUCCGUGCCAGUAGCCGCGGUAAUUC
rnacentral:rRNA from 1 species